rnacentral:sRNA from 1 species
AGGACGAUCCACUGACGCAUAACGUGGUACUCAUAAUAAAGUGUUGGAAUAACCUUGAAAAUUUGAGGGAUGACCUCAUUUAAUCUCCAGUAGCAAUUCUGACCUGUAUUGGAGGUGUUAUGCGUCUGGAUCGUCUUAC